rnacentral:rRNA from 1 species
CCUACGGUGGGCUGCAGUGAGGAAUAUUGGUCAAUGGGCGCGAGCCUGAACCAGCCAAGUAGCGUGAAGGAUGACUGCCCUACGGGUUGUAAACUUCUUUUAUAAAGGAAUAAAGUAAGGCCCGUGUGCCUUUUUGUGUGUACUUUAUGAAUAAGGAUAGGCUAACUACGUGCCAGCAGCCGCGGUAAUACGGAGGAUCCGAGCGUUAUCCGGAUUUAUUGGGUUUAAAGGGAGCGUAGAUGGGUUGUUAAGUCAGUUGUUAAAGUUUGCGUCUCAACCGUAAAAUUGCUAUUGAUACUGGCAGUCUUGAGUACAGUUGAGGUAUGCGGAAUGCGUGGUGUAGCGGUGAAAUGCUUAGAUAUCACGAAGAACUCCGAUUGCGAAGGCAGCUUACUAACCUGCCACUGACAUUGAUGCUCGAAAGUGUGGGUAUCAAACAGGAUUAGAUACCCCGGUAGUC